rnacentral:rRNA from 1 species
CGGAAGGUCCGGCGUUAUCCGGAUUAUUGGGUUAAGGGAGCGUAGGCGGCUGUUAAGUCAGCUGUGAAUCCGGCGGCUCAACCGUCGGCCUGCAGUUGAUACUGGCGGCCUUGAGUGCGCGCAGGGCGUUGGAAUUCAUGGUGUAGCGGUGAAUGCUCAGAUAUCAUGAAGAACUCCGAUCGCGAAGGCAGAUGCCCGGAGCGCAACUGACGCUGAGGCUCGAAAGUGCGGGUAUCAAACAGGAUU